GAGGGCAGUGCCUCCCUCCAACAACUGCUCCGCAGUGUGAGAUGUGGCCACUCACACAGACUCCUAAUACAGCCCACCGCAUGUAGUCUGGCAAGUGUAUAGGACAAGUGGUCCCUUCUUGGAGAUGAUGGAGGAGAAGGACAUUUGUGGGUUGGAUGGAGCCCUGGGCAACCUGGUCUAGCCCACGGCUGGGAGACUGGAACUAGGUGACCAUUGAUGUCCCUUCCUACCUAAGCCAUUCAAUGAUUCUAUGAUUCUUCAGCUGGUGUUCUUGCUUCCCAUAUCCCCCUUUCAUUAUUUAAUUGUUUGUUUAACUCCGAACUCUGAAAUAUGCAUGAAAAAUUAAGGGGCAGAGGAGCACUUAAGAUCAUAAAGCACCUAUUUGAUCCUGUGGCUUUGCAGGAAACAAAGCUUUUGCCUUGUAAUCCUCUGGAACCCAAGGGAGAGCCAUCUGUCUGUCAGUACCAGAGAUAACUUCUCUUCUAGAGGAAUACAAAAUCUGAACCACAGCUGCAGCUGCAGCACUGCUAUCCAAGCUUUACGAGUGUUUUUAAGAGGCAAUUGAACAAUCAGUCCAGAACACCGAUGUUGACCUGAUUUCUGCUUAAGGAACACCUGACUUUGUUUCCCACUUUCUCCCUUCCCACCUCAGUUCCUGGGGUGACAGGGCCAAGUUCCAGCAACAAUAGCUGAGUUCUGGCAUUUUGACAUCCAAACCAGGGAUUGUUGUUGCAAAACCAUGUGCAAUUCAGCGCUGAGCAAUGUGUUCCCUACACACAGCUCAGUGCAGUACACUGGGAUGGUUACUAUUAUCGACACUAUUAGGACAUACAGGAGAGCAUGAUGCAAUAGAAGGAACACCAAGCUGAGAUAAAGGUGACAUGGGGAACUGUUGUAGGCAGCUUGAAGGUAUAACUAUAUGCGAAAGCCCCACUGGUUCUGGAGUUGGCCUAUGGAUUCGCAAUGAAUGGAGCAACCAGAAAGGAAUGCAGAUAUAACGGAGAGCCCUCCCUGCCAUCUGCACCCAUGAGCCCACUGCAUCAUAGGAUUUUUGCAGGCCCUGCCAUACAAAAAUAACCAAAACCAAGUGAAAAAGUGUUUAGUCUUACAAAUCUCAAAAUAAAAGGAACCUUGGAUAUGAGUGAUUCUUUCUCAUCUCUAAACAUAUAUGUACUUCCAUAAUGCUGAACUCAAUUCUUCUUUUCUUUAUCUUGCAUUUAAACAAUAGACCAGGUUUUAUGGUUCUAUGCGAAGAACUUGUUACACAAGCUCCAGUGACUCACAAUCUUGUUGAACACUGUAUUCCCAAGUACUAGCCUCUAACACCAGGAAUCCUGGUAAAUGGAAUUAAAUAUUUUGCAAGAAUAUCUUGCUACAGCAUUUAAUACAUCUCUUGCAUAACUGACUCUUUUGGUGGGAUCUUUACUUUGGAAAGUAAAACAGAUAUAUGCAUGUAUUCA